rnacentral:rRNA from 1 species
AUACGGAGGAUGCGAGCGUUAUCCGGAUUUAUUGGGUUUAAAGGGAGCGUAGGUGGGAUAUUAAGUCAGCUGUGACAGUUUGGGGCUCAACCUUAAAAUUGCAGUUGAUACUGGUUUCCUUGAGUACGGUACAGGUGGGCGGAAUUCGUGGAGUAGCGGUGAAAUGCUUAGAUAUCACGAAGAACUCCGAUCGCGAAGGCAGCUCACCGGGCCGGAACUGACACUGAUGCUCGAAAGUGCGGGUAUCAAACAGGAUUAGAUACCCUGGUAGUCCGCACAGUAAACGAUGAAUACUCGCUGUUUGCGAUACACUGUAAGCGGCCAAGCGAAAGCGUUAAGUAUUCCACCUGGGGAGUACGCCGGCAACGGUGAAACUCAAAGGAAUUGACGGGG